rnacentral:rRNA from 1 species
GAGGAAUAUUGGUCAAUGGGGGCAACCCUGAACCAGCCAAGUCGCGUGAAGGAUGAAGGUCUUAUGGAUUGUAAACUUCUUUUACACGGGAAUAAAGUGGGGGACGUGUCCCCCUUUGCAUGUACCGUGUGAAUAAGGAUCGGCUAACUCCGUGCCAGCAGCCGCGGUAAUACGGAGGAUCCGAGCGUUAUCCGGAUUUAUUGGGUUUAAAGGGUGCGCAGGCGGGAUGUUAAGUCGGCGGUGAAAUUUUGCAGCUCAACUGUAAAAGUGCCUUGGAUACUGGCCGCCUUGAGUGUGGAUGAAGUAGGCGGAAUUUGGGGUGUAGCGGUGAAAUGCUUAGAUAUCACGAGGAACUCCGAUUGCGCAGGCAGCUUACUAAGCCACAACUGACGCUCAUGCACGAAGGCGUGGGGAUCAAACA